CAAGGCGAACCGGGGGAACUGAAACAUCUAAGUACCCCGAGGAAAAGAAAUCAACCGAGAUUCCCCCAGUAGCGGCGAGCGAACGGGGAGGAGCCCAGAACCUGAAUCAGCGUAUGUGUUAGUGGAAGCGUCUGGAAAGUCGCACGGUACAGGGUGAUAGUCCCGUACACAAAAAUGCAUAUGUUGUGAGUUCGAUGAGUAGGGCGGGACACGUGACAUCCUGUCUGAAUAUGGGGGGACCAUCCUCCAAGGCUAAAUACUCCUGACUGACCGAUAGUGAACCAGUACCGUGAGGGAAAGGCGAAAAGAACCCCGGCGAGGGGAGUGAAAUAGAACCUGAAACCGUGUACGUACAAGCAGUGGGAGCACCUUCGUGGUGUGACUGCGUACCUUUUGUAUAAUGGGUCAGCGACUUAUAUUUUGUAGCAAGGUUAACCGAAUAGGGGAGCCGUAGGGAAACCGAGUCUUAACUGGGCGAAUAGUUGCAAGGUAUAGACCCGAAACCCGGUGAUCUAGCCAUGGGCAGGUUGAAGGUUGGGUAACACUAACUGGAGGACCGAACCGACUAAUGUUGAAAAAUUAGCGGAUGACUUGUGGCUGGGGGUGAAAGGCCAAUCAAACCGGGAGAUAGCUGGUUCUCCCCGAAAGCUAUUUAGGUAGCGCCUCGUGAACUCAUCUUCGGGGGUAGAGCACUGUUUCGGCUAGGGGGUCAUCCCGACUUACCAAACCGAUGCAAACUCCGAAUACCGAAGAAUGUUAUCACGGGAGACACACGGCGGGUGCUAACGUCCGUCGUGAAGAGGGAAACAACCCAGACCGCCAGCUAAGGUCCCAAAGUCAUGGUUAAGUGGGAAACGAUGUGGGAAGGCAUAGACAGCCAGGAUGUUGGCUUAGAAGCAGCCAUCAUUUAAAGAAAGCGUAAUAGCUCACUGGUCGAGUCGGCCUGCGCGGAAGAUGUAACGGGGCUAAACCAUGCACCGAAGCUGCGGCAGCGACGCUUAGGCGUUGUUGGGUAGGGGAGCGUUCUGUAAGCCGUUGAAGGUGACCUGUGAGGGUUGCUGGAGGUAUCAGAAGUGCGAAUGCUGACAUAAGUAACGAUAAUGCGGGUGAAAAACCCGCACGCCGGAAGACCAAGGGUUCCUGUCCAACGUUAAUCGGGGCAGGGUGAGUCGACCCCUAAGGCGAGGCUGAAAAGCGUAGUCGAUGGGAAACAGGUUAAUAUUCCUGUACUUGGUGUUACUGCGAAGGGGGGACGGAGAAGGCUAGGCUAGCCGGGCGACGGUUGUCCCGGUUUAAGCAUGUAGGCGGAGUGACUUGGUAAAUCCGGUUGCUUAUCAACGCUGAGGUGUGAUGACGAGUCACUACGGUGGUGAAGUAGUUGAUGCCAAGCUUCCAGGAAAAGCCUCUAAGCAUCAGGUAACAUUAAAUCGUACCCCAAACCGACACAGGUGGUCAGGUAGAGAAUACUCAGGCGCUUGAGAGAACUCGGGUGAAGGAACUAGGCAAAAUGGUGCCGUAACUUCGGGAGAAGGCACGCUGGCAUUAGGUAAAGAGACUUGCUCUCGGCGCCGAAGCCAGUCGCAGAUACCAGCUGGCUGCAACUGUUUAAUAAAAACACAGCACUGUGCAAACACGAAAGUGGACGUAUACGGUGUGACGCCUGCCCGGUGCUGGAAGGUUAAUUGAUGGGGUCAGCCGCAAGGCGAAGCUCUUGAUCGAAGCCCCAGUAAACGGCGGCCGUAACUAUAACGGUCCUAAGGUAGCGAAAUUCCUUGUCGGGUAAGUUCCGACCUGCACGAAUGGCGUAAUGAUGGCCAGGCUGUCUCCACCCGAGACUCAGUGAAAUUGAACUCGCUGUGAAGAUGCAGUGUACCCGCGGCAAGACGGAAAGACCCCGUGAACCUUUACUAUAGCUUGACACUGAACAUUGAGCCUUGAUGUGUAGGAUAGGUGGGAGGCAUUGAAGUGUGGACGCCAGUCUGCAUGGAGCCAACCUUGAAAUACCACCCUUUAAUGUUUGAUGUUCUAACUCGGCCCCAUAAUCUGGGGUGAGGACAGUGUCUGGUGGGUAGUUUGACUGGGGCGGUCUCCUCCCAAAGAGUAACGGAGGAGCACGAAGGUUAGCUAAUCACGGUCGGACAUCGUGAGGUUAGUGCAAAGGCAUAAGCUAGCUUGACUGCGAGAGUGACGGCUCGAGCAGGUACGAAAGUAGGUCUUAGUGAUCCGGUGGUUCUGAAUGGAAGGGCCAUCGCUCAACGGAUAAAAGGUACUCCGGGGAUAACAGGCUGAUACCGCCCAAGAGUUCAUAUCGACGGCGGUGUUUGGCACCUCGAUGUCGGCUCAUCACAUCCUGGGGCUGAAGUAGGUCCCAAGGGUAUGGCUGUUCGCCAUUUAAAGUGGUACGCGAGCUGGGUUUAGAACGUCGUGAGACAGUUCGGUCCCUAUCUGCCGUGGGCGUUGGAAGAUUGAGAGGGGCUGCUCCUAGUACGAGAGGACCGGAGUGGACGAAUCACUGGUGUUCGGGUUGUCAUGCCAAUGGCAUUGCCCGGUAGCUAAAUUCGGAAGAGAUAACCGCUGAAAGCAUCUAAGCGGGAAACUUGCCUCGAGAUGAGUCUUCCCUGGGGCUUUAAGCCCCCUGAAGGAACGUUAAAGACUAUGACGUUGAUAGGCUGGGUGUGUAAGUGCAGCGAUGCAUUGAGCUAACCAGUACUAAUGAUCCGUGAGGCUUAACCUU
rnacentral:rRNA from 1 species